rnacentral:rRNA from 1 species
CCCUUAGAUGUUCUGGGCCGCACGCGCGCUACACUGAUGCAUUCAACGAGUCUAAAACCUGCUCUGAUAGGGGUGGGUAAUCUUUUGAAUGUGCAUCGUGAUUGGGAUAGAUGAUUGCAAUUUUUCAUCUUCAACGAGGAAUGCCUAGUAAACGCAAGUCAUCAGCUUGCAUUGAUUACGUCCCUGCCCUUUGUACACACCGCCCGUCGCUCCUACCGAUUGAAUGAUCCGAUGAAUAUCAUAGACUGAGCGUAUAAGCAGGUUCGCCUGUCUUUGCUUCUCGGGAAGUGAAGUAAAUCUUAUCAUUUAGAGGAAGGAGAAGUCGUAACA